AAGGAUUGACGGACUGAAGGCUCUUUCUCGAUUCCGUGGAAAGUGGUGCAUUGGCCGUUUUUGGUUGGUGGAUCGAUCCGUCUGGUUAAUUCCGUUAACGAACGAGACCUCGGCACUCCGAAUAGCGCGGCGGACGUCGCGGCCUCCGGGGCCGUCUUCCGCACGAGCUUCUUAGAGGGGACCGUCCCCCGCCGGGGAAGGAGGUGCGAGGCAACGACAGGUCUGUGAUGCCCUUAGAUGUUCUGGGCCGCACGCGCAUUACACUGACGCGUCCAACGGGUGACUCCCGACCCGAAGGGGCCGGGGAAUCCGCAAGGCGCGUCGUGAUGGGGAUUGAACGUUGCAAUUGUUGUUACACGAACGAGGAAUUCCUAGUAGGCGCGGGUCAUCAACCCGCGCCGAUUACGUCCCUG
rnacentral:rRNA from 1 species